rnacentral:rRNA from 1 species
AUUGAACGCUGGCGGCAGGCCUAACACAUGCAAGUCGAACGGUAACAGGAAACAGCUUGCUGUUUCGCUGACGAGUGGCGGACGAGUGAGUAAUGUCUGGGAAACUGCCUGAUGGAGGGGGAUAACUACUGGAAACGGUAGCUAAUACCGCAUAACGUCGCAAGACCAAAGAGGGGGACCCUCGGGCCUCUUGCCAUCGGAUGUGCCCAGAUGGGAUUAGCUUGUUGGUGGGGUAACGGCUCACCAAGGCGACGAUCCCUAGCUGGUCUGAGAGGAUGACCAGCCACACUGGAACUGAGACACGGUCCAGACUCCUACGGGAGGCAGCAGUGGGGAAUAUUGCACAAUGGGCGCAAGCCUGAUGCAGCCAUGCCGCGUGUAUGAAGAAGGCCUUCGGGUUGUAAAGUACUUUCAGCGGGGAGGAAGGGAGUAAAGUUAAUACCUUGGCUCAUUGACGUUACCCGCAGAAGAAGCACCGGCUAACUCCGUG